ensembl:lncRNA
CUCAAAUCUCAAAGAAAGAGGCACACCCACAACUGGAUUGCAUUGGAGACAUCCAUUGUGCAGAGGGGAUGACUCCUGAUGGCCAUCACCUGACUUUGCAACGAGUGCCAUUAUGUCGACAUUUCUCAACAGCUGUUGGAUUGAUCACUUGGAAAUUUGUGCUUGUGGGAGGGGGAGCAGAUGGAGGCUUUACUUACUUACUAACUACUUACAAGAUUAAUGUUCCCUCUAUGCUGCAACCCGCUGAGGCUUCCUGCUGUCUGCUAUCAUGACCUAUCAUUGCACGGACUCUGAGAGCUUAUUAAGGGUCACAUUUAUGGUGUUAAAAUGCAAAGUAACAAAACAAACAGGAAACUAAGCACUCGACUACAGCUGUCGUACUCCUAGGGUUUAAAUGCACGCUUUGUUUAACUAUUUCCACCUGAGAGGGAAAUAUUGUACUUCACUUUUGAAAUAUUUUUUUUGAUAAAAUUGAAAAUAAUACAUUUUUAGUUAUAUGACACAUAUUCCUUCUUUAAUCAGCCUAAAGUAUAUCAACAUGAUCUCCC